AGAGUUUGAUCCUGGCUCAGGAUGAACGCUGGCGGCGUGCCUAAUACAUGCAAGUCGAGCGAACGGACGAGAAGCUUGCUUCUCUGAUGUUAGCGGCGGACGGGUGAGUAACACGUGGAUAACCUACCUAUAAGACUGGGAUAACUUCGGGAAACCGGAGCUAAUACCGGAUAAUAUUUUGAACCGCAUGGUUCAAAAGUGAAAGACGGUCUUGCUGUCACUUAUAGAUGGAUCCGCGCUGCAUUAGCUAGUUGGUAAGGUAACGGCUUACCAAGGCAACGAUGCAUAGCCGACCUGAGAGGGUGAUCGGCCACACUGGAACUGAGACACGGUCCAGACUCCUACGGGAGGCAGCAGUAGGGAAUCUUCCGCAAUGGGCGAAAGCCUGACGGAGCAACGCCGCGUGAGUGAUGAAGGUCUUCGGAUCGUAAAACUCUGUUAUUAGGGAAGAACAUAUGUGUAAGUAACUGUGCACAUCUGGACGGACCUAAUCAGAAAGCCAC
rnacentral:rRNA from 1 species